rnacentral:rRNA from 1 species
AUACGUAGGUGCCAAGCGUUAUCCGGAUUUACUGGGCGUAAAGGGCGUGUAGGCGGUCUUGCAAGUCAGAAGUGAAAUUCCUGAGCUCAACUCGGGCGCUGCUUCUGAAACUGCAGGACUUGAGUGCUGGAGGGGAUAGCGGAAUUCCUAGUGGAGCGGUAAAAUGCGCAGAUAUUAGGAAGAACACCGGUGGCGAAGGCGGCUAUCUGGACAGUAACUGACGCUGAGGCGCGAAAGCGUGGGGAGCAAACAGGAUUAGAUACCCUGGUAGUCCACGCUGUAAACGAUGAUUACUAGGUGUGGGGGGACUGACCCCUUCCGUGCCGCAGUUAACACAAUAAGUAAUCCACCUGGGGAGUACGGCCGCAAGGUUGAAACUUAAAGGAAUUGACGGGG